AAUCAACGCUGGCGGCGUGCCUAACACAUGCAAGUCGAACGAGAAAGGGUAGCAAUACCUGAGUAAAGUGGCGCACGGGUGAGUAACACGUGACUAACCUACCCUCGAGCGGGGGAUAACCUAGGGAAACCUGGGCUAAUACCGCAUAACACCUACGGGUCAAAGCGAGCAAUCGCACUUAAGGAGGGGGUCGCGGCAGAUUAGCUAGUUGGUGAGGUAAUGGCUCACCAAGGCG
rnacentral:rRNA from 1 species